UACGGAGGGUGCGAGCGUUGUCCGGAAUCAUUGGGCGUAAAGCGCGCGUAGGCGGCCAGGUAGGUCUGCUGUGAAAACUCACAGCUCAACUGUGGGCGUGCGGGCGAUACGGGCAUCACUGGAGUUCGGCAGGGGAGACUGGAAUUCCUGGUGUAGCGGUGAAAUGCGCAGAUAUCAGGAGGAACACCAAUGGCGAAGGCAGCUCGCUGGGACGGUACUGACGCUGAGACGCGAAAGCGUGGGGAGCAAACAGG
rnacentral:rRNA from 1 species